AUAGAGGAGGCCUUGUACUGAAAGCGUGGAGCCACAAGAUAGAAGCUGCCUGGAUCCCUGAGUCACCACAUGUCAUCACGUGGAAGGCAGAAGCCCUGGAGAGUGAUGGAGUCUCCCUCUGUGCGCCCUAUGGCCCAGGCUGCAGUGUAGUGACACAGUCUCAGCUCUCUGUAACUUCUGCCUCUCGGGUUCAAGCGAUUCUCCUGCCUCAGCCUCCUGAGUAGCUGGGAUUACAGGCUGGAGUGCAACGGUGCAAUCUCCGCUGACUGCAACCUCCGCCUCCCGGGCUCAAGCAAUCCUCUCACCUCAGCCUCCCAAGUAGCUGGGACCCCAAGUGUGCGCCAUCACGCCUGGCUAAUUUUUGUCCUUUUUUUUUUUUCUGAGACAGAAUCUCACUCUGUCGCCCAGGCUGGAGUGCAAUGGCAAGAUCUCGGCUCACUGCAACCUCCAUCUCCUGGGUUCAAGCAAUUCUUCUGCCUCAGCCUCCCUAGUAGCUAGGAUUACAUGUGCAUGCAACCAUGCCUGGCUAAUUUUUGUGUUUUUAGUAGAGACAGGAUUUUGCCAUGUUGUCCAGGGUAGUCUCGAAGUCCUGACCUCAAGUGAUCUGCCUGCCUCGGCCUCCCAAAGUGCCAGGAUUACAGGCAUGAGCCACCAUGCCUAGCCAAUUUUUGUACUUUUUGUAGAGAUGAAGUUUCACCAUGUUGGCCAGGCUGGUCUCCAGCUCUUGACUCAAGAGAUCUACCCAGCUUGCCUUCCCAAAGUGCUAGGAUUAUAGCCAUUAGCCACCGCACCUGGUCAGAAACCUGUCUAUUUUAUGCUUAGGUUUGAUGAAGAGUGGACAGCCAUGGAGAAGGAUAACUGGACACCGGGGCUAUGACCUAAUGGGAAUAAACUGGCUGGAAGUUGGCAAGGCCUUUUUGUUUAGGCUUUUCCCUGUGUCUUCAGACACAAGGAUGUUUCUUUCCUCCAGGUACAGGGUGUGUACCUCUGACAGGUCUUACGAUCUGUUCUAAAGGAAGAUCAGAGAAUCCUUUUUGUGUUUUAUGGCUUUUUUGCUUGAAGGGAGAAGGCAAAGGGAAGAUGAGAGGGAUCUUCCUGCUUCUGCUGUUUUUUUCAAAUGCCAAGGUACCAUAUUUUGGGGUAGCAUGAGCCCCAACAAGGAAAACAGUUCAUAUUCUCAGCUGAAUUCAUGAUAGCACAUUUCACAAGAUGGCAACAAGCAUGAGAUAUAGCUAUGAGCAGUACAUUUUGGCUUAGCUUUGUAGUCUGUGGUUUUCAGUUUCUGAAAAGACCCAAAUGUUCUUUAUUUAAAGAACCAAGGUUUACAUGCCGUGGUGAAUCACAACGUGGUGGUUAGAGCCCAGUCAGACGGUCCAUUUGCUUUCUAUUCUUAACUUUCUCGCUGGCCCCAGAGCCUCUUAGAACCUCCCUGGAUAAAAAUAAGUGGUGUUUGGUAAUCCUGAGCUGAAAGGUGGUACUUAAGUCAAAAGCACACCUGAACACAGCUAAUUUGCACUAAUCAUCUAGAUCUGCCAUGAAUCAGCCAGAGGGGAAAACGUCAUUAUGAUGCAACCACAACCAGGUAUUGCAGGACCUAACCAACCUCAAACAUGAUUUUCAUUUCUGAAACCGACUUCUAAGCCCCCUCAUGUAGUGGUUAUCAAAUGGGAGCCUGCAUCAGAAUCCCCUGGAGGAUGUGUUACGAGAUUGCCGGGUCCCAACCCUGGAGAUUCUGAUUCCAGGUAACUGGAGAAGUCCUGAGUAUUUUCUUGUUUUUUCUUUUUUCUUUUUUUUUUUUUUUUGAGACAGAGUCUUGGUCUGUCACCCAGGCUGGAGUGCAGUGGCGCGAUCUUGGCCCACUGCAACCUCUGCCCUCGGGGUUCAAGUGAUUCUCCUGCCUCAGGCUCCGGAGUAGCUGGGAUUACAGGCGCCCGCCACCACGCCCUGCUAAAUUUUGUAUUUUUAGUAGAGACGGUUUCACCAUGUUGGCGAGCCUGGUCUUAAACCCCUGACCUCAGAUGAUCCGCGCGCCUUGGCUUCCCAAAGUACUGGGAUUACAGCCAUGAGCCACCAUAUCUGGCCCUGAGUAUUUUUAUUUCUAACAAGAUCUCAGAUGGCGCUGAAGCUGCUGGUCCUGGGGCCACAUUCUGAGACCCUCAUUUCCCAUACAAAACAAGGUUUCCUAUCAGAACCUUAUUUUUGCCAGUUUAUUUUUUAUUUUUUCGAGACAGAGUCUCGCUGUUGUCACCCAGGCUGGAGUGCAGUGGUGAGAUCUUGGCUCACUGCAGCCUCUGCCUCCCGGGUUCCAGCAAUUCUCCUGUCUCAGCCUCCUGGGUAGCUGGGAUUACAGACACGCGCCACCACGCCCUGCUAAUUUUUGUAUUUUUAGUAGAGAUGGGGAUUACAGGCCUGAGCCAAUGUGCCCAGCCCAGUUUAUUUGUUUAUUUUUUAAAGAGAUGUGGUCUCACUCUAUUGCCCAGGCUGGAGUGCAUUGUCGCCAUCAUAGCUCACUGCAGCUAGAACUCCUGGACUCAAGCGACUCUCCUGCCUCAGCCUGUCAAGUAACUGGGACUACAGGUGUGAGCCACUACGCCUGGCUAAUUUUUAAAAUUUUCUGUAGAGAUGGGGGGUCUCACUGUGUCACUCAGACUGGUCUUGAACUCCUGGUCUCAAGCAAUCCUCCUGCCCCAGCCUCCCAAAGUGCUGGGAUUACAGGCAUGAGUCACCAUGCCUGGCCUAUUUUUGCCAGUUUAAAGUGGUAAAUGAGGCCGGGCAUGGUGGCUCACGCCUGUAAUCCCAGCACUAUGGGUGGCUAAGGUGGGUGGAUCAUGAGGUCAGGAGUUCGAGACCAGCCUGGCCAACAUAGUGAAACCCCGUCUCUACUAAAAAUACAAAAAUUAGCCAGGUGUGGUGGCACGCACCUGUAGUCCCAGCUACUCAGGAGGCUGAGGCAGGAGAAUCGCUUGAACUGGGGAGGCAGAGGUUGCAGUGAGCUGAGACCACACCAUUGCACUCCAACCUUGGUGACAGAGUGAGGCUCCAUCUCAAAAAUAAUACUAAGAAGAAGUAAUAAAGUGGUAAGUGGGCUGGGUGCCAUGGCUCAUGUCUGUAAUCCUAGCACUUUUGGAGGCCAAGGCAGGCGAAACACUUGAGCCCAGGAGUUUGAGACCAGCCUGGGUGACAUAGUGAGACCCCAUCUCUACAAAAAAAUGCUAAAAUCGGCUGGGCGUGGUGGCGAGCGCCCACAGUCCCAGCUACACAGAAGGCUGAGGCUGGAGGAUCGCUUGAGCCUGGGAGGCGAAGGUUGCAGUAAGCCGAAAUGGCACCACUGCACUCCAGCAUGGACAACAGAAUGAGACCCUGUCUCAAAACAAAAACAAAAAACAAACAACAGCAACAAAAAAAGUGGUAAAUGUCCAAUUAUAGUAGUGAUCUUCAACUGGCGUGAUUUUGUCGCCCCAGAAGACAUUUUUGGUUGUCAUUACUGCAAGAAGCUGCGUGGGGUGGGUAUUACCAGCCUCUAGUGGGUAGAAGCCGGGGAUGUUGCUAAACAGCUUAAAGCGCUUAGCCCAGCCCUCAACAACAAAUAAUUAUUUUGGUCCAAAAUAGCCAUAGUGCUGAGGUUGGGCAACUCUGAACUCCAGGGGACUGCUUAAAUAAAGUAGAACAUUCUUACAAGGAAUAACUAUUAUGUAGUCAUUGAGAAGAAUGUGCCUUAAAACUUUUUAACAUUUCUAUUUAUUUAUCUAUUUGUUUGUUUAUUUACAGAGGUGGGAUCUUGCUAUGUUGCCCAGGCUGGUCUUGAAUUCCUAGGCUCAAGCGAUCCUCUCACCUUGGCCCCCUGAAGUGUUGGGAUUACAGAAACAAGCCUCUGCACCCAGCUAAGACAUUUUUAGAACUUAGGGAAAUGUUUAUGACAUGAUGUGGGGGAUAAAACGGUAAGAGGAGUCUAUUCAACAUAUCACCUGUUUUAAUUUUCUCCCUACUUUAUAUCACUACUUACAAUGAUCUUGUUUGUUUCCACGUUUACUUAUGUAUCGUCUGUCUUCCUUCACUAGGGUGAAGGUCCUGGUAUACUGUAGGGGAAAAUGAAAUAGUCGGAGAAGUGAAAUAGGGGAGAGUGGAAUGACAGGGUAAACCUGAUGAUAAUAAAAUCAGUGAAGUGCUGGUAAAUGUUUAACAACUGACUGUGCAAAGAAAAUCCCUGAUUUAUAGAGUAGCAUUUGCCAAUUUCUAUGGUGUAAAUACUCCCACCAUGGCUGAUUUCAAGCUACCUUGUGAUGUCACUGAAGGAGGAGCAGAAUAGAGACAUGCACAGCUGCCUAUCCAAGCCCAUGGGAGCUGGUGCUAGCACAACAGUGGAAAUACUUCUGUCAAUAUAAAAGACUGAAAGGUGGCUGGGGCAGUGGCUCAAGCCUGUAAUCCCAGCACGUUGGGAGGCCAAGGCAGGCAUAUCGCCUGAGGUAGGAGUUCGAGAUCAGUCUGGCCAACGUGGAGAAACCCUGUCUCUAAUAAAAUACAAAAAUUAGCUGGGUGUCGUGGCACACACCUGUAAUCCCAGCUGAGGCAGGAGAAUCGCUUGAACCCGGGAGGCGGAGGUUGCAGUGAGCUGAGAUCAUGCCACUGCACUCCAGCCUGGGUGACACAGCAAAACUUCGUCUCAAAAAAUAAAAUAAUAAAAGACUGGAAGGAAAACUGCUAAAAUUCGAAUGGAGAGCAGUGGGAUUAGAUACAUAGUGGAAACCACCGCCGGGUGUGGUGGCCCACGACUGUAAACCCAGCACUUCGGGAGACCCAGGUGGGCAGAUAGCCUGAGUGUAGGAGUUUGAGAACAACCUGGCAACAUAGCAAGACCUCAUCUUUACAGAAAAUAAGAAAUGAACCAGGCAUUGUUUGCAUUCCUGUGGUCCCAGCUAUGCAGGAGGCUGAAGUGGGAAGAUCACAUGAGCACGGGAGGUCGAGGCUGCAGUGAGCUGAGAUCAUGCCACUGCACACCAACCUGGGUGAGACCCUCUCUUAAAAAAGAAAGAAACAAAGUGAAAAAUAAGAAAGAAAAAAAAGGAAACCAUUGAGUUGGGCAAGGUGACUCAUGCCUGUAAUCCCAGCACUUUGGGAGGCCAAGACAGGAGGAUGGCUUGAGGUGGAAGUUUGAGUCCAGCCUGGGUAACAUAGGGAGACCCCACAUCUACAGAAAAUUAAAACAAAAAAUUAGCUGGGUAUGGUGGCGCAAGUCUGUCAUCCUAGGACUCUGGAGGCUAAGGCAGGAGGAUUGCUUGACCCCAGGGGUUCAAGGCUGCAGUGAGCUAUGAUUGCUCCACUGCACUACAGCCUGGGUGACACAGUGAGACCCUGUCUCAAAAAUAAACAAAUAAAUUAAAUUAAUUAAUUAAUUAAUGCAGACUCCCAGACCUCCAGAACCAAAGUCUGUAUUUGAAUACGAGAGCCUGUGUUACUGCUAUUUUUGUACACCGGUUGUGGUCAGAGAGUGUAGCUCUAUCAUAUAGAUGUCUUGGCUCGUCAAGAAGCUGGUCCUCAUGUGAUACCUGGGUUGGCCCAUGAAUCUGAGUCUUUUUGUUUUCAGAGCCAUGCCACUUUUAGAACACAGUUUCAGGAAAAUUGGGGAACUGUUUAGUCAUCAGAAGCAAGAGACCUGAGACACAGUCUAUAGGUGGCACCUUCCUCCAUGGCACUGUCAUCGUGCUGAAUGAAGCACAUCUCCAGCCCAGGGUCUGCCUCCAAUCCAGGCUCAGAGAACCACCCACAGAGUGGCCACAAGUCGGGCAAGGCCACAGGCAGUCUUUCUGAAAAUGCAUUUAAUUGCCUGUGAUUCAGCCCUCAGAUAGCAGAGUCAGGAUGAGCGAUCACAUUCUUAUCCUGAGUACUAUCUGAUAACCGGCAGCAACUUGCAGCUACUGUUCUAGGCUGAGGACCAGCUUCAGAAGGGACACGAGGCUGUAAUGGAGAAAAGGUGCAUAAACACAGUGGGUAAAAGCAAGAUGAAAGUAAAAAUGAGGAACAACCGCAGAUCUCAAACUACAAAACAUCACAUGUAUUGAGAAAUCUGCAAAUUGCCAAGAGCUUGUCGGUUAAUAGAGUUAAACUACGUAAAAUACUUAAAGAGAUUUAUCUGAGCCAAAUAUGAGUGACCAUGACCCAUAACAGCCCUUAGGAGGUCAUGAGAACAUGUGCCCAAGGUGGUUGGGCUGCAGCUUGGUUUUAUAUAUUUUAGGGAGGAAUGAAACA
rnacentral:lncRNA from 1 species